rnacentral:rRNA from 1 species
CCCUUAGAUGUCCUGGGCCGUACGCGCGCUACACUGAUGCAUGCAACGAGUUUAUAACCUUGGCCUGAAAGGUCUGGGUAAUCUUUUGAACGUGCAUCGUGAUAGGGAUAGAUUAUUGCAAUUGUUAAUCUUGAACGAGGAAUUCCUAGUAAACGCGAGUCAUCAGCUCGCAUUGAUUACGUCCCUGCCCUUUGUACACACCGCCCGUCGCACCUACCGAUUGAAUGGUUCGGUGAAGAUCUCGGACUUCGAUAUUUAUUCUUUAUUGAGUUUAUAUUGUGGGAAGUUAUCUAAACCUCAUCAUUUAGAGGAAGGUGAAGUCGUAACA